CAGCAAUUAAAAUCAUGAAAUAAAGCAAAUUGAAUUACAUGCUUCCACUGUGUUUGCUGAUGAAAUCAUGUGGAGGCUGUAUGCAGUAUUGCAAUGAUAGAUGUGGUGGGUGCAGGGGGAGCUGUGAUAGGGAGGAAGGCCAAGUGUUGAAACCUUGGGGCUUGUGUAGUCACCAGCUCUAGGUAUACCCUGUGCCUGUUGGUAUAUGGG